GAUGAAGAAACGCAGCGAAAUGCGAUACGUAAUGUGAAUUGCAGAAUUCAGUGAAUCAUCGAGUCUUUGAACGCACAUUGCGCCCCCUGGUAUUCCGGGGGGCAUGCCUGUCCGAGCGUCAUUGCUGCCCUCAAGCACGGCUUGUGUGUUGGGCCUCCGUCCUCCUCCCGGGGGACGGGCCCCAAAGGCAGCGGCGGCACCGCGUCCGGUCCUCGAGCGUAUGGGGCUUCGUCACCCGCUCUUGUAGGCCCGGCCGGCGCUUGCCGACACAUCAAUCUUUUUUCCAGGUUGACCUCGGAUCAGGUAGGGAUACCCGCUGAACUUAAGCAUAUCAAUAAGCGGAGGA
rnacentral:misc_RNA from 1 species